rnacentral:rRNA from 1 species
CGCGUAGGCGGCUUGACAAGUCACUUGUGAAAUCUCCGGGCUUAACUCGGAACGGCCAAGUGAAACUGUCAUGCUAGAGUGCAGAAGGGGCAAUCGGAAUUCUUGGUGUAGCGGUGAAAUGCGUAGAUAUCAAGAGGAACACCUGAGGUGAAGACGGGUUGCUGGGCUGACACUGACGCUGAGGCGCAAGCCAGGGAGCAAACG